CUUGCUACUAUAUAAGAGGUCCCGCCUGCCCAGUGACCUAGUUCAACGGCCGCGGUAUCCUAACCGUGCGAAGGUAGCGUAAUCACUUGUUCUCUAAAUAAGGACUAGUAUGAAUGGCACCACGAGGGUUACACUGUCUCCUUUUUCCAAUCAAUGAAACUGAUCUGCCCGUGAAGAAGCGAGCAUAAAAAUAUAAGACGAGAAGACCCUAUGGAGCUUUAAACUACAAUAGCAUGGGCUAUCCACUACAUGUUUCAGAACCACAACAUCCAACUUAGCCUCAAUGACUAUUAGUUUUAGGUUGGGGUGACCGCGGAGUAAAAAUUAACCUCCAUGUUGAAAGGACUACGUCCUGAGCUUAGAGCUACACCUCCAAGCACCAAUAAACUGACAUCCAUUGACCCAACAUAUUGAUCAACGAAC
rnacentral:rRNA from 1 species